UUCACGGAGAGUUUGAUCCUGGCUCAGAACUAACGCUGGUGGCGUGUCUUAGUCAUGCAAGUCGAACGAGAAAGCACCUUCGGGGGCGAGUAAAGUGGCGAACGGGUGAGUAACACGUGGGUAACCUACCUUUGAGUGGGGAACAACCCCUCUAACGAGGGGCUAAUACCGCAUAAUGCAGCGGCUCCGCAUGGAGACAGUUGUUAAAGGGGCAGCUUCGGUUGUCUCGCUUGAAGAUGGACCCGCGGUCCAUUAGUUUGUUGGUGAGGUAACGGCUCACCAAGGCAACGAUGGAUAGCCGGCCUGAGAGGGUGAACGGCCACACUGGAACUGAGAAAGGUCCAGUCCCCUACGGGGGCCAGCAGUCUAGAAAUUUGCGCAAUGGGCGAAAGCCUGACGCAGCGACGCCACGUGGAGGAUGAAGCCCUUAGGGGUGUAAACUCCUGUCAGAAGGGAAGAAUGCAGGAAAUAACUUUUCCUGUUUGACGGUACCUUCAGAGGAAGCCCCGGCUAACUUCGUGCCAGCAGCCGCGGUAAUACGAAGGGGGCAAGCGUUGUUCGGAUUUACUGGGCGUAAAGGGCGUGCAGGCGGACCGAUAAGUCGUCUGUGAAAUCUGUCGGCUCAACCAACAACUGGCAGUCGAAACUAUCGGUCUUGAGUACAGGAGAGGAGAGCGGAAUCUCAGGUGUAGCGGUGAAAUGCGUAGAUAUCUGGGAGAACACCGGUGGCGAAGGCGGCUCUCUGGCCUGAUACUGACGCUGAGGCGCGAAAGCUAGGGGAGCGAACGGGAUUAGAUACCCCGGUAGU
rnacentral:rRNA from 1 species